UACGUAGGGUGCAAGCGUUAAUCGGAAUUACUGGGCGUAAAGCGUGCGCAGGCGGCGCGUUAAGACAGGUGUGAAAGCCCCGAGCUUAACUUGGGAAUUGCGCUUGUGACUGGCGAGCUGGAGUGUGGCAGAGGGAGGUGGAAUUCCACGUGUAGCAGUGAAAUGCGUAGAGAUGUGGAGGAACACCGAUGGCGAAGGCAGCCUCCUGGGCCAGCACUGACGCUCAUGCACGAAAGCGUGGGGAGCAAACAGG
rnacentral:rRNA from 1 species